rnacentral:rRNA from 1 species
UACGAAGGGGGGCUAGCGUUGCUCGGAAUCACUGGGCGUAAAGCGCACGUAGGCGGCUUUCUAAGUCAGGGGUGAAAUCCUGGAGCUCAACUCCAGAACUGCCUUUGAUACUGGAGAGCUUGAGUCCGGGAGAGGUGAGUGGAACUCCGAGUGUAGAGGUGAAAUUCGUAGAUAUUCGCAAGAACACCAGUGGCGAAGGCGGCUCACUGGCCCGAUACUGACGCUGAGGUGCGAAAGCGUGGGGAGCAAACAGG